rnacentral:rRNA from 1 species
GGGAAACUGCGUACGGCUCAUUACACCAGCUAUAAUUUACUUGACCUUGACUUCUUACUUGGAUAACUGUGGUAAUUCUAGAGCUAAUACAUGCACCAAAGCUCCAAUCUCCCCAGAGCGGAGCGCAUUUGUUCGCCACAAAACCAAGCGCCCUCCGGGCGUCCAGUGUUGACUCAGAACAACUAAGCUGAUCGCACGGUCUUGUACCGGCGACGUGUCUUUCAAGUGUCUGCCUUAUCAACUUUCGAUGGUAGUGUACCUGACUACCAUGGUGAUGACGGGUAACGGAGGAUAAGGGUUCGACUCCGGAGAAGGGGCCUGAGAAAUGGCCACUACGUCUAAGGAUGGCAGCAGGCGCGCAAAUUACCCACUCUCAACAUGAGGAGGUAGUGACGAGAAAUAACGAGACCGAUCUCAUACGAGGCCGGUCAUCGGAAUGGGUACAAUUUAAACCCUUUAACGAGUAUCUAUGAGAGGGCAAGUCUGGUGCCAGCAGCCGCGGUAAUUCCAGCUCUCAAAAUGCAUAGAA